UUUUUUUUUUUUUUUCAAAUUAAUUUUUAUUAAAAAGGUAUAUAGUUACAUGGAAAGUAGGGGAAUAUUGUGGAGGAGAUAGAAAAGUAGGAAAUAAAGUAGAACAAAAGAAAUACCGGAGUAUGGAGAAA